AUGGCUCUGUUCGCCCACCUUUGUGAGGGCUUCGCCGGAGUUCUUCCCAACACGGCGCUCUUCCGCCAUUAUUUUUACCCUCGCAUCCAGAAGGGAGGCACCAUUUCUGGCUGCAUCACCUGGAUCCCAAGGUCCCAAGGGACAUACCCGGAGGGCGCCCAGAAGGAGAGGUGGGAAGAAUGGCAGGGCUGGUGGUGCUGGAUUGAGGAGGACGAUCCACAAGAGUCCUACCGGGUCCGCCAAGCACCACCGGUCCGCAGGAACGACUGGGGCGACGUCGACGCCCGAGAUGACAAGCUCGAGAUCGCCACCACCAGGAUCCACCGCCUCACCAUUGCCGGGCUUACCCUAAAGAUGAUUGGGGCAGAUUUCCUCAGCUGCCGAAUCGCUCCUCUACACAACAAGGGGAGGCCGUCCUAG
rnacentral:rRNA from 1 species